UUUAUUUUAUUUUAUUUUAUUUUAAUUUAUUAAUUUAUUUGAUAAUAAUCGAACAAAGAGAAGGGGAGGGAAGGGAGGAGG
rnacentral:ribozyme from 1 species